UACGGAGGGGGCUAGCGUUGUUCGGAAUUACUGGGCGUAAAGCGCACGUAGGCGGAUAUUUAAGUCAGGGGUGAAAUCCCGGGGCUCAACCCCGGAACUGCCUUUGAUACUGGGUAUCUGGAGGUCGAGAGAGGCGAGUGGAAUUCCGAGUGUAGAGGUGAAAUUCGUAGAUAUUGGGAAGAACACCAGUGGCGAAGGCGGCUAUCUGGACGGUUUCUGACGCUAAGACGCGAAAGCGUGGGGAGCAAACAGG
rnacentral:rRNA from 1 species